rnacentral:pre_miRNA from 1 species
UCAGCAGUGUUAAAGUGCUUAUAGUGCAGGUAGUAUAUUAUCUACAUCUACUGCAAUGUGAGCACUUCCAGUAUUGCUGU